GAACAGAUAGCCAUGAGGAAUGCAGUCUUGAAAGACAAGAAUUUUAAUAGGCACUUGUGAAUGGACUUGAAUAAAGGGAUGCUAAGCACUAAAAUUAAAAUCUUAUCAUCUGACAGCUUUCAGCCUAUCAUAAACUCUUGGAAGGGUAAACAGCAAUAGACCGGUCAUGGAUUUGUGAAAGACUGAAACAGUUGCCACUUGAACUCCGUCUGACACCAACUGCAGAAUUGCUGAAAAAUAUUCUGCAUAGAGAACACAAGGAUGUUGGCUUCAGAAAAUACUGCCCAUGUGACACCAAAAUAAGCAGCUACAAGAGGUUCAGGAGACAGUGUACAUAAUCAGUACCAACAAUGUGUGAGGAGGUGGAUGUUAUUUUAAGCAUCCCAGAGUCCUUCAUAAGAAGUCAUUGUCUUGCACAAAUAGAAUACAAAGAAAAUGCAGCACAAGGAAAAAACAUGUCAUGCACACAUUCAGAAGGAGGCAGCCUCAUCCAAGGAGUAAUGAGCAGAAGAUACUUGGGCUCAUGGGGAAGUGGGUGAUAACGGUAUCUCAGAAGCCUCCUCCUGCUGAUACUCCUAAUGAUGCUAUUUCACCUGUCUAAAAAGCUGCUGGCUUCGUAUGCACAGCUGCUGUCAAUGGGAAAUCAGACUAGGGCCCAUUCUGGGUCACAUCUUCACAUGCCAAACUAAGAAUAAUCAUCCUCAGUCCUGAAGGGGGAAAAAAAGGGGGAGGGGGCGUGGG